rnacentral:rRNA from 1 species
GAUGAACGCUGGCGGCGUGCCUAAUACAUGCAAGUCGAGCGAACGGACGAGAAGCUUGCUUCUCUGAUGUUAGCGGCGGACGGGUGAGUAACACGUGGAUAACCUACCUAUAAGACUGGGAUAACUUCGGGAAACCGGAGCUAAUACCGGAUAAUAUUUUGAACCGCAUGGUUCAAAAGUGAAAGACGGUCUUGCUGUCACUUAUAGAUGGAUCCGCGCUGCAUUAGCUAGUUGGUAAGAUAACGGCUUACCAAGGCAACGAUGCAUAGCCGACCUGAGAGGGUGAUCGGCCACACUGGAACUGAGACACGGUCCAGACUCCUACGGGAGGCAGCAGUAGGGAAUCUUCCGCAAUGGGCGAAAGCCUGACGGAGCAACGCCGCGUGAGUGAUAAAGGUCUUCGGAUCGUAAAACUCUGUUAUUAGGGAAGAACAUAUGUGUAAGUAACUGUGCACAUCUUGACGGUACCUAAUCAGAAAGCCACGGCUAGCUACGUG